GAUGAACGCUGGCGGCGUGCCUAUACAUGCAAGUCGAGCGAACGGACGAGAAGCUUGCUUCUCUGAUGUUAGCGGCGGACGGGUGAGUAACACGUGGAUAACCUACCUAUAAGACUGGGAUAACUUCGGGAAACCGGAGCUAAUACCGGAUAAUAUUUUGCACCGCAUGGUUCAAAAGUGAAAGACGGUCUUGCUGUCACUUAUAGAUGGAUCCGCGCUGCAUUAGCUAGUUGGUAAGGUAACGGCUUACCAAGGCAACGAUGCAUAGCCGACCUGAGAGGGUGAUCGGCCACACUGGAACUGAGACACGGUCCAGACUCCUACGGGAGGCAGCAGUAGGGAAUCUUCCGCAAUGGGCGAAAGCCUGACGGAGCAACGCCGCGUGAGUGAUGAAGGUCUUCGGAUCGUAAAACUCUGUUAUUAGGGAAGAACAUAUGUGUAAGUAACUGUGCACAUCUUGACGGUACCUAAUCAGAAAGCCACGGCUAACUACGUG
rnacentral:rRNA from 1 species